rnacentral:rRNA from 1 species
GACAGAGGGUGCAAACGUUGCUCGGAAUUACUGGGCGUAAAGCGCGUGUAGGCGGCUUAACAAGUCACUUGUGAAAUCUCCGGGCUUAACUCGGAACGGCCAAGUGAAACUGUCAAGCUAGAGUGCAGAAGGGGCAAUCGGAAUUCUUGGUGUAGCGGUGAAAUGCGUAGAUAUCAAGAGGAACACCUGAGGUGAAGACGGGUUGCUGGGCUGACACUGACGCUGAGGCGCGAAAGCCAGGGGAGCAAACGGG